UACGUAGGCAGCGAGCGUUGUUCGGAGUUACUGGGCGUAAAGAGUGCGUAGGCGGCGUUCCAAGUCUGUUGUGAAAUCUCCCGGCUUAACUGGGAGGGUGCGGCGGAAACUGGGACGCUGGAGUACGGGAGAGGUAAGCGGAAUUCCUGGUGUAGCGGUGAAAUGCGUAGAUAUCAGGAGGAACACCUGCGGUGUAGACGGCUUACUGGACCGUAACUGACGCUGAGGCACGAAAGCGUGGGUAGCAAACAGG
rnacentral:rRNA from 1 species